AGUUCUGGAAUUACAAAGCAUAUAACAUGAUGCUAGAUGCCAAGUUCCCAAAUUGCAUUGAUACAAGAGACUUUGCUAUCAGGUGGCCACUCAGAAUCUAUAACUUCCAUUGAAUCUUCAAUAAUACAUUACAUUGCAAGAUCUGGUUUACUAACUACAGAUUUGGAGUAAAGUAUUCAAGAAUUUCCAGCUUCCAGUUGUUAAGCAAGAGCAAUAAAGUAUAACUCUAAUCCUGUUCUAAA